GGUAUCAUGACCGUGCGAAGGUAGCAUAAUCAUUAGUCUCUUAAUUGGGGGCUGGAAUGAAUGGUUGGACGAGAAAUUAGCUGUCUUAGUUUUGAAAAUUGAAUUUAACUUUUAAGUGAAAAGGCUUAAAUGGGCUAGAGGGACGAUAAGACCCUAUAAAGUUUGUACAUUAAACUAAUUUAAGGCGGUUUGGGUUUAUAAAGUUUGUCAUUAGGAAAGUGUUUAGUUGGGGCGAUUGGGAUAUAAGUUAUAUAACUGUUUCUUUGUUUGAAUCAAAAAUAUUUGAGUUUAUGAUCCUUUUUUAGGAUUAAAGAGUAAAUUACUUUAGGGAUAACAGCGUAAUUUUUUUUGAGAGUUCUUAUCGAUAAGAGAGUUUGCGACCUCGAUGUUGAAUUAAAAUUUC
rnacentral:rRNA from 1 species